rnacentral:rRNA from 1 species
UACGGGGGGGGCAAGCGUUGUUUGGAAUUACUGGGCGUAAAGGGCUCGUAGGUGGCCAACUAAGUCAGACGUGAAAUCCCUCGGCUUAACCGGGGAACUGCGUCUGAUACUGGAUGGCUUGAGUUCGGGAGAGGGAUGCGGAAUUCCAGGUGUAGCGGUGAAAUGCGUAGAUAUCUGGAGGAACACCGGUGGCGAAGGCGACAUCCUGGACCGGUAUUGACGCUGAGGCGCGAAAGCCAGGGGAGCAAACGGG